ACCUGGCUGGCCUAGUCAGAAGAGCAUAUGACUUUUAAUCUCAGGGUUGUGAGUUCGAGCCCCAUGCUGGGUA
rnacentral:tRNA from 1 species